rnacentral:lncRNA from 1 species
UAUUGAGAAGUGAAAUGUGUUUGAACGGGAAAUGAGCUGUGAUGCAGAAUGGCACACCAGCUGGACUGGACAGCUCCCUGAAGACUUGAUCCUAUUCCCAUUGGAAUCGAAAGAACCUUUUGAUUAAUUUCAUUGGCACUUACACUUCAGCGAAGUCAAGGCUCUCAUAUUUCAGAGCAGGCUGCACAGUAAUCUGUGUAAGGUGGCUGAGGGCAGUGAUUGUCCAAAGCAAGAAACUGAUUGGCUGUUAGAUGCUGUCUUGACUUCAUCACCGGUGCCUAUUCAAUACAUGGUUAUGACAUCGAUUGCGCUACUGCUUCAUUUGCAUAUUCAAAGCAGUGACAUCUGGUAGUUUACCAUAACAAGCUGGGAUAAAACGACUGUUCCUGAUUCUGUUACAGGAAGGCUGCAUGUGUACAUGGACACUCCCCUACAAGAAGGUGCAGGUGGCUCAUUGGGACACCUUAGCCUGAUGCUUGAGAGUAGGAGUCAGGCAUAGACCACAGGAGCCAACAGUAUCUCUUGAGCAAGUCAUGGGAGCAAGAGAACAUGAAUCCAGUCCAUGGAGGUGAGGGGUCAGGCACUGCUCUGAGGAUCCAAGAACAUACCCCUAUGACUCAGGACGGGGAGGAAGGUACCCAGAGUUUGGUCACUGGAGGUGAGAAGUCAGCUGAUGUCCUGAUGACCCAGCUUCACCUUCUGAGGAUGGAGAAAGUGGUGACCAAGAAUGCUCUACAUGAUGGCCUGCCGGAGCACUGCACUGCACAGGCCACUUCUGAAGAAGGAACUUGGCAGGGAUGUCAGCAGACCCGGACAGAAAACAAACUCCCUUCACAGCCAGAAACUUAUGGUUGUCAAGCAGAUUGUGAAGCACAUUAAAUCGUUGCCGCAGGAUUCGCUGGACUCACACUCCAGUGCCGUGCGCUGCCAGGGGAUGCUGCUCAUCACAGACUGCAGCAAAGCAAAGCCGCCUCUGGAGGGUAAAGAGAAGUUGGAUGGGGUCAUUGUCUGUGUUGCCAGCAUCUUUGCCCUGCCGUCAGUUGAGGCCUUACAAAGGCAGGAAGGCCAUAAAGUAAAUGCGAAGGAUUUGUACACAGACUGUGGAUGCCCUGGAAGUGAUGCUGAGAGCUCGCCUGUCGGAGAAGCCUAA